UGGGGAAUAUUGCACAAUGGGCGCAAGCCUGAUGCAGCGACGCCGCGUGGGGGAUGACGGCCUUCGGGUUGUAAACUCCUUUCGCUAGGGACGAAGCUUUUUGUGACGGUACCUAGAUAAGAAGCACCGGCUAACUACGUGCCAGCAGCCGCGGUAAUACGUAGGGUGCGAGCGUUGUCCGGAAUUACUGGGCGUAAAGGGCUCGUAGGUGGUUUGUCGCGUCGUCUGUGAAAUUCCGGGGCUAAACUCCGGGCGUGCAGGCGAUACGGGCAUAACUUGAGUACUGUAGGGGUAACUGGAAUUCCUGGUGUAGCGGUGAAAUGCGCAGAUAUCAGGAGGAACACCGAUGGCGAAGGCAGGUUACUGGGCAGUUACUGACGCUGAGGAGCGAAAGCAUGGGUAGCGAACAGG
rnacentral:rRNA from 1 species